AUGGUAAGACUUCUUUCUCUCUACUCUCUCUAAACUAUUAUCGUUUAUUGAAGUGGCAGACUUGUACAAACUAGUAUUGGAUAGCUUUUUCCUUCACACUAUAGUUCUUUUGCAUUUCAGAUUAUUUAUUUAAUGCGUGUUUAAAAAUUACACCGGUGUGAAGGCUAGCCGGUAAUAUGCGGGGUUGCCUACCCAGAGCAGCACGGGCCAAAGCUGCUCGCAAUCCUUCACCAUCUGCCUCCUAAACAGUUUAAUAUCAACUUUUUAGUGACUUUAAUAACAUAGUCGAUGUGUUUUAACAUUCUUGCACUUGAUAUUUGUAGAUGAUUUGUUUCUGAACGCAUUUUAAGACACUACUUUUUGAAAUGGCCGCAGCUCAUUCUGCGCAGCUGCACCAGCGUCUCUCAAUGAUGAGAAUACACAGACCUGUACUGAAUGACUGUGAUUGUACUUUUUAUACUUCUGAUGUGAGACGCUUUCGAUAAAGUAGUGACUGUUUUCACCCCACUGUGACCACGCUUGCACCCGAGUGGUCACGUGUUGGCCUGACACAGGAAGUCGACCUGCUUGCAGACCAUGCUCAAACUAGACUCUGCACCUUUUUUUUUUUUUUUUUUUUUAUCUUAGAUGGCGAAGGAAGAUUAUGAAACUGCAUCAUGCAAAGGUGCAAGAAGAUCGUGGGAAACACACCACAAAGAUGUUAGCGAGGGUGAUCAAGGAUGACGGGAGCUACCUUAGCAGGCUGUUCUGCAAGCUGACCUCUCCAGCGUGGCUCAUCUGAUCUCUACUAUGGGACAUCGACAAGAAGUUUCCAGGAGGCCUUGUGGACCUCUCAACAUGGCUGUCACUGGAGACAGAAGACUGGUCCUCAGGAAGUCUCCGUGGUAAGUUUGUGAUAUUCAGGCGUUUUAUUUCUUUUCACAAUGCCGUUCCAGUGAUGAUGAACUUAGCUCACUUUGAACCGAUGUGAAACGACACGAACAACUGAGGAACUACUUUCCACAAUAACAACAUUUUGGUCGGACCUUAUUUGGCUGUCAACUUACAAUGUCCUUUCUAUCAACAGAUUUGUUCCCUGCGUUGGCAGCCGGAUGAUGGUGUCCUUGAUUGAGGUUCUUGUCUUUGGAACAAUUCAGAAGAUGACUCUUCUCAUAGCGCUUGGAAAGGUGUUUGCAAAGUGCCAAGCUGCCUGACAAUUCAGAACCUCUUCAUGAUUUAUCUGACAUGCAAUGCCUUCAAGGGAAGAUGUUCAGUGACAACUACUUGAUCUUCAUCUCCCUCAGAAGUGUCCAGUUCCUGCCAGAGACGAGGCGUGAGGAUUCUAUUUAUCUCCAUCUGGCUCAGUGCACACCUGGAACUGAUGCAGUCCGGCACUGAGGACCCUGAACACCAGUCAGGUGUAAGGUGACCUGCUGUGGUUCUGAUGGAGACUGAGAACAAAUCACUGACAAGGCCCUUCCUGACUGUCUUCAGACAUCUAUCAUUAGCAUGUUAUCAAAAAGAAGCCGCAACUAAGAGGUCUGGCUUUGCUUUCAAAAUGGACUUAAAAGUAUAUAUCUUUUUUUUUUCCUUGCAGGAUGAAGUCAACAAUCCAUGGUUUGCAUGUGGUGAGUAUUUUAAGAGCCUCAUAAAGUCUAUCGCUGAAGUGAUGAGUUACUUAUUACCGCCCCAGUCUGAAGAUUCAUGACUGAUUGGUAUCCCCUCUGAUCAAACCACUAUGAAAGUUUUCAAUUGUAUACAUGUGUUGGGAUGAGUUUUUAAAUGUUUGUCUGUUCUCUUUAUAGUCCAGUUGGCUUUGCUGCUUUCUGAGGAGUGUUGGUAAGAAUAUAGUUUUUUUAUUUAAGCUUCUCUUGAUGUGAUGAGUUACUUAUUACCGCCCCAGUCUGAAAAUUCAUGACUGAUUGGUAUCCCCUCUGAUCAAA